CUUUUCUGCCCCAAAAAAAUAAUUAUGCCCAAAAAUAUUCCACUAAGUUAAGUUUUACCCAAAUUAUUCUCGUACUUCUUCUUCCCUAAAACAGGGUUCUUGUCAUCUAGUUAAGCAGAUUAGGGUAGAUUUUGUGAAAAUUGUUGAUGGAGAUGCUUAAUUUCUUCCCUAAAUCGUUUGCUUAUGGUUACAACUGCUAAAAACUUGUGAAGUCAACGAUAAUUGAACUAUCCAAUUGGCAGCAACAGUAAUCUAGCUUCUGAUUGUUGCUGGUUCUGCAAUUUCAUCUUCUUCAAGAAGAGACACACAUUGGCAAAUUUUAUUUAAGAGCGCAAAAAUACACUUUACAAG